rnacentral:tRNA from 1 species
GUCCCUGUAGAGCAGUGCAUAGCGCGUUGGACUUCUAAUCCAAAGGUCGUGUGUUCGAAUCCCACCAGGGAUG